GAUGAACGCUGGCGGCGUGCCUAAUACAUGCAAGUCGAGCGAACGGACGAGAAGCUUGCUUUUCUGAUGUUAGCGGCGGACGGGUGAGUAACACGUGUAUAACCUACCUAUAAGACUGGGAUAACUUCGGGAAACCGGAGCUAAUACCGGAUAAUAUUUUGAACCGCAUGGGUCAAAAGUGAAAGACGGUCUUGCUGUCACUUAUAGAUGGAUCCGCGCUUCAUUAGCUAGUUGGUAAGGUAAAGGCUUACCAAGGCAACGAUGCAUAGCCGAAGUGAGAGGGUGAUAGGCCACACUGGAACUGAGCCACGGUCCAGACUCCUACGGGAGGCAGCAGUAGGGAAUCUUCCGCAAUGGGCGAAAGCCUGACGGAGCAGCGCCGCGUGAGUGAUGAAGGUCUUCGGAUCGUAAAACUCUGUUAUUAGGGAAGAACAUAUGUGUAAGUAACUGUGCACAUCUUGACGGUACCUAAUCAGAAAGCCACGGCUAACUACGUG
rnacentral:rRNA from 1 species